AGAUUGAACGCUGGCGGCAUGCCUUACACAUGCAAGUCGAACGGUAGAGUAGCAAUACUUGAGAGUGGCGAACGGGUGAGUAAUAUAUCGGAACGUGCCCAGUCGUGGGGGAUAACGUAGAGAAAUUUACGCUAAUACCGCAUACGAUCUAAGGAUGAAAGCGGGGGACCGUAAGGCCUCGCGCGAUUGGAGCGGCUGAUAUCAGAUUAGGUUGUUGGUGAGGUAAAAGCUCACCAAGCCGACGAUCUGUAGCUGGUUUGAGAGAACGACCAGCCACACUGGGACUGAGACACGGCCCAGACUCCUACGGGAGGCAGCAGUGGGGAAUUUGGACAAUGGGCGAAAGCCUGAUCCAGCAAUGCCGCGUGCAGGAAGAAGGCCUUCGGGUGUAAACUGCUUUGUACGGAACGAAACGGUCUGCUUUAAUACGAGUGGCUAAUGACGGUACCGUAAGAAUAAGCACCGGCUAACUACGUAACCAGCAGCCGAC
rnacentral:rRNA from 1 species